rnacentral:rRNA from 1 species
UACGUAGGGGGCAAGCGUUGUCCGGAAUCAUUGGGCGUAAAGCGCGUGUAGGCGGCUGGCUAAGUCCGCUCUGAAAGCCCGGGGCUCAACCCCGGGAGGCGGGUGGAUACUGGUCAGCUCGAGUCCGGAAGAGGAGUGUGGAAUUCCUGGUGUAGCGGUGAAAUGCGCAGAUAUCAGGAGGAACACCAAUGGCGAAGGCAGCACUCUGGGACGGUACUGACGCUGAGGCGCGAAAGCUAGGGGAGCAAACAGG